rnacentral:antisense_RNA from 1 species
AACCAGAGGUCAUUCCCUCUCUCUGCUAAGUACCUGAUUGCCUUGCAAGAAGGAAGAGGUUUUAAAAGUUUUCAAAGCUAACAGGUGUCCAAAGGAGAUUACACCUGCAAAUCAGGUUUAUAAUGUACAACCUGAAACAUUCCAUUGAUGAUAAAUGAACUUAACUGAAACAGAAGCACGUCAUGUUCUUGAACUGUGCCAGCAGAUUUUACAGUUUCUAGAGGAACCACAGAAUUCCUUCUGCUUAAGAAGUCAUUCAGAUAACCUAAACAGGUUACUGAGGUGUGGUUCUAUCACUGUGUUUUAUUUUGAGGAGGAUAGUAGGGAAUAGAAGAAAAAAGAGGGGGCAAAUAAGAUCUUUAGCUGACAAGUAUUGUACAGUUCUAAAUUUUAGCAUUUGCUUUGAUACAUGUUUAAAGUUUCAAAUGAUGUUUACUGUGCAAAUGGACCUACUCACUUAAUCUACCAGUCCCAUGACAGAAGACUCACCAUGGACAUUGGUACAUGCUGGUUAACUGUAUUGACUUGGAUUUACAAAGUGUGAUAACGAACUAAUACAGACAGCAUGACAUCAUUGUGUGGAUACACAUUAGCAAGCUUGAAAACUACAGGAAAUAAAACUGGAAAGGAACGGACAUGAGGGAUACAUGUGCACAGAGAAAAGUCCGUGUGAAGACAAAAUGAAAAAGUGGCUGUCUACAAGUCAAGGAGAGAGGCCUCGGGAGAAGCUAAACCUGCUGACACUCUGAUCUUGGAUUCCUAGACUCCAGAACUGUGAGAAAAUAAAUUUCUGUUGUUUAAGCC